rnacentral:rRNA from 1 species
GACGAACGCUGGCGGCGUGCCUAAUACAUGCAAGUCGAACGCACGAAGUUGAAGAGCUUGCUCUUUAACCAAGUGAGUGGCGGACGGGUGAGUAACACGUGGGUAACCUGCCCAUUAGAGGGGGAUAACAUUCGGAAACGGAUGCUAAUACCGCAUAGUUUCAGGAAUCGCAUGAUUCUUGAAGGAAAGGUGGCUUCGGCUACCACUAAUGGAUGGACCCGCGGCGUAUUAGCUAGUUGGUGAGGUAAUGGCUCACCAAGGCAAUGAUACGUAGCCGACCUGAGAGGGUGAUCGGCCACACUGGGACUGAGACACGGCCCAGACUCCUACGGGAGGCAGCAGUAGGGAAUCUUCCGCAAUGGACGAAAGUCUGACGGAGCAACGCCGCGUGAGUGAAGAAGGUUUUCGGAUCGUAAAACUCUGUUGUUAAAGAAGAACAAGGAUGAGAGUAACUGCUCAUCCCCUGACGGUAUUUAACCAGAAAGCCACGGCUAACUACGUGCCAGCAGCCGCGGUAAUACGUAGGUGGCAAGCGUUGUCCGGAAUUAUUGGGCGUAAAGCGUUCGUAGGCUGUUUAUUAAGUCUGGAGUCAAAUCCCAGGGCUCAACCCUGGCUCGCUUUGGAUACUGGUAAACUAGAGUUAGAUAGAGGUAAGCGGAAUUCCAUGUGAAGCGGUGAAAUGCGUAGAUAUAUGGAAGAACACCAAAGGCGAAGGCAGCUUACUGGGUUUAUACUGACGCUGAGGAACGAAAGCGUGGGGAGCAAACAGG